UGUUAUUAGGGGUUCCGCUAAAUUAUUUUGAAUUUAAAAGGGUUCUGUGACCAAAUAAAAUUGGGAAGCACUGGUCUAACGUGUUACAUGACUACACUUUCUUAAAGUUACAGACUAACAUGGCUACCCCUCUGAUACUGCCUCUGUGUGUGUUUUAACCAUGAUAUGAAAGUACUACGUCCAGUGUAAAAUAGUAGAUCAGUCUCCAUGAGCCAGAUGUUGGCAUUUCUACAGGUUACCAACCAAUGUAGCUAGGCACAAGUGACUCCAAAAAUCUCCAAAUAUCUCAUUACCUUUUUGUGUGUAAUGUCUCUUCUACAUAAUAUAUCUGUACAAAAAUUGUGUUGUGACAGUAACUCUAGUUUCUUAGCAGGGUUAUUAGAAGAUCAUUGUCAAUCAGAAGCCUUACCUAAUUAAAUGAAGGUGGUCAUCAAAUAUGGACUUUCAGAUUGGGAGAAUGGAUGGAAGUUUCGGUGUCUUGGGGCCCUCAUUGAGAAGAGUCUACUAAAACCUUCUUGAUGGUUGCAAGGGACAUGACCUAAUGUGAGCAUCGCUGGCUACAUAUAUGGCUGUCUAUCACAGGGAUAUCAUCUCAGUGCAGGAUAUGCACACCCUGUCAUACCCUCAUAGUGGUGUCAUGUACACAUUGAACAAGGAGGAUGACAGAAUAGGAGUCUGCAGCAUCUAUAGGAAAAGGAGUCAUUCCUCAGUUGAUGUAAUCUCUCGUAAGACAGAAAAGGACAACUUCAUUCCACUUCUAACUACAUUUUAUAGGAGAGUCAACAUAUUAUGAUCAACAGUAUGGAAGCCAAUUGAAUAGCUCUAAUGCAACUUCUAUGGACAUCUGAAUUUAUUUCAGAGAGAACAUUAUCGGUCACCAAAAUUCAUGCAGUCUCUGUACUAAAGUUUAGACCCAGAAUGACAAGGGUCAAGAAGAUCAAAGGCACUUAGAGACCCUGUUAGUUGUGUCACUGCAACCUUUUUCAUAAUCUUGCUUACAAGGAAAGGUGUGAUACUGAGCUAUAAUUCACUGGAUUGUCAACAUGAAGUGAUGACUUAUUGAGCAGAGGCCAUGUUUAUGUUUCAGAACAAGAGGCACCCUACCUUCUUUAAAAGGAAUUGUAAAGCGCCACCAGCAAACAAACCAGUUCUUCCCAACUGACCUUGACCAACCUGGAAGGGCACAGUUCCAAAACAUAGUUGUGUCAACUACUUGCAUUUCUGUCCCCCCUAAAUAAGCAUCUAUGAUCCCUAUAAUUCAAUUUUAAAUGUAAGUGCAUUAGUAGAGAAGUUGGAAUAAUGUUAUUGGAGUCCAGUUUAAAACCAUAAAUACAUUUAAUAAAAGUUGUACACUUUUUGAAAUGCUCUCUAAAAGAUCAAAAUAAGCAGUUAAGGGAUUCUGCCAGUUGUCUCACUUCUGUAUUAUCAUAAGUUUCUUCCUAUUAUGCACCUGACUGGCAUUGGCCAUCUAGCCUUACAGUUGCCCAAAUCACCAUUAUAUAAUUCCAUUUUCUAAUCUUAAGGAUCCAUUUCCAUCAUAUUAUAACAUGAUCAACAACAAUAUUAAUUCAACCUGUAUGUUAAUUGCUACAGAUAAUUAAAAAUACAAAUGUAAAAUGCUUGUGACAGACAAUGAAGUGCUUCAUGCUGUACAAUGCAUGGUAGAUCUUGCCUCCCAAGAAAUUUGUGUUGACAAAUAAUGCCACAUUGGAAGGACUGCAGUAAGAUUCUGCAUUUUUAAAAGCUUUUUGGUAAUGAGCUAAUGUCAUUUUUGUUGAUGUGGUUUAGUAUCAGACUAUUGCCUGUCAGUCUGAAAGAGCGACACAAAAUAUGGUUGUUUUUUCAGCCAGCUAAAGGUCUUACUCCUUUUCAAAAAAUAGUUUUCUAAAUUCCCAACUUCAGUACACAGAAUAUUUUAUUUCAGACUUUAAAAGAAAUUGAGGAGGAAAGAGUAAUUGUUGCCUCACUUCCUUGGCUUCCCUUAUCCCUCAUAAGCCCAGAUGUCCCCUUUGCUACAGGAAGUAAGGAAAGGCAGAAACAAUAUAGGCAAGAAGAGUCUCAAUUAUGGAAGGCAGAACACUCACUCAACAGCAUUUUGCCAAAGCUAAGAAACCAAAAACCACUACAGCUAUUGGUUCCCCACACAGAGUUCUUAUGCUUGGAGUUUGAACACAUUAGAAUAAAGAUCUGUGGGCAGAGGCCUUGUCUCCUGCCUUUUUAAUAGGGGUUCACAUUCUUCCUUUAAAGAAAAGCAGCAGGAAGUGUCUAAUCUCCCAAAUCUCAGGCAAGUAGAAAAGUUCACCUUUUUAUGAGAGAUGUUUUGAUAGCAUAUGACAUUCUUACCUUUUUUUUUUCUUAGCCUUCUACCCACAGAUUGAACUUGGAAUUAUCUACUGGAAUAUAGCAGCCAUAUAGUUUGUAGCUUUCAUAUCCCCUAAGAUCCUUUUCCCAGUUUCAUAACACUUCAAAGGCCACGAAACAUGUUUUACUUAAGUACUUUAAAAUGUUGAAUGAAAGGCACUAUACAAGCGUAAGUAAUUAUGACCCAGACUUACACAUACUACAGGAUCUUUUCUGACUGCUAUGAGGGUAGUCCAAAUUACACACCACUCAGAUUGGCAUUUCUGCACUCAGAUUCAGUCUGGUGGAAUACUUGUUUGGCUAUCACUGGACAUCUAAGGAGGGAUCACAGCAGCCAGUAAACAGGAUCUUGGGCUCAAAGCCAAAAGGUGGCAGCUGCCAUGGCUCAGAAGGAAGCCAGAUCACUUGAAUUACAAAACAAUCCAAUUACUUGAUAAAGUAUCAUGUGACCCUGUUUAGCUAAUGGUUUGCUAGUCAUCAGUUUAAAAUAAAGUGGUUUAGUUGCAAGGGACGUGUAUUAGACACAUGUUCCUAUUUAAAACAAUUGGAUUGUGAUUAGAAACAGUAGUAUAUGCACUUAUUGGGAGUUGUAACAAUACAGAUGUCUAUGCACCAAGGAGUUCUGAGGAGAUGGUACUCACAAAUAUGAACUUACUUAAGUAUGGAACAGCAUAAAUAUAUCUUUGACUUUUCCUUUGUUUUAUGUGAUGGUUUGGGAUGCAACUCCCAUGCUCUCCAUGUCCCUAAAUCUUUGCCAGAUUCCAGGAUUGGAUGACAGGUUGAAUCACUCAAUAAUUGCCCAGUUGGGUUCUUUCCCUCUGAAGCAUAUGGCAUUGGUCACUGUUGGAAGACAGGGUAAUGGGUCAGAUGGCAUUCUUAUAUUUGCACAUUUAAAAAAAAAUUGAAACAAUAUCUGCUAUGCUUCUGACUCCAUAUUUGUUUAGGAGAUUCUGACAAAGUAGUAAAAACAUUUGCCAUUUAAAAUGUUGCUUUCAAAACAAUUAUGAACAGUGUGUUAGUUGGCAGAAUUGUUGCAAAAAAGGGGUAUCUACUGAUUUUAAUGGAACCGCUCAUUAGAAUAACAGUUUGCAAGAUCAGACUAAGUGUCUACAUACCAUUUGUGCUAUAAGAAAAAAUUAAAGGUAAACUUAAUGUUCACCUUGUAGUCCCAUUGAUUAAAAUGCUGUCACAUUGUCUUGUUUUUCCAGAAGUGUAACAGUUCUUUUAGAGUUGUGAAUUCACUUUAGGUAUAUGUGAUGGAAAAAAUUGCCUUAAAUCAGAAGUCCAUCAAGAAGUUUUUUUGUCUAACCAGAAGCAUAAAGCCAGACGUGUAAUCAUCAGGACUUGAAGUUGGAAAUAUGCCCUUGAUAUCACUACAGUUAAGACUAGACAUUCAUUUCCAAUGUCACUUCUGUUCUGAGUCUCCUUUUUUCUCCAGUUAUCAUAUUUUCUCAACAAAUUCUUUGUGGAUUGGAAUUUUCCAUGGUUGCUCUAAACCUAGAGGUUAGAGUUUUUGAAAGUUGAGUUAUGAAUGAGGGUGGGAAAAGGAAGGAAGAGAGAGAUGCAAACACUUCCUAUGUGUUCAAGAGACAUGUUUUGCUUGUACAAUCUAAAACCAACUGAAUCUAAAGCUUUAGGUUUGUUUUAUAUAUUUGCAAAGUUCUUAUGUAUAUAUAUAGUAUGUUAUGUGUAUGUAUAGUAUGUUAAAAAGUUCAUGGAAAAGACAAAAUUUGUUAAGGCCACUAAAUCUCAUUGGCAAAAGUAACAAGCUAAGCAGCUUUAUAUCACAGUAUUUACAAGAUCAUUCCUGAAUUAAGGAUGACUGUUAGAACUCUAGCCUUACAAGUUUCUCAGUCAGAGAUCUAGUAGUGUGGUAUUUAUUAAGAAUAUAAUAUAUGGAUCAACCAGAGUUUCAUAGCCUGUCUUCUAUAGCAUUUUAUAUGUGAAAUUUUUCUAGUCUGAAAGGUUAUGUACUGCUAACAUGGUGGCACAGGACUACUCAUUUUUACAGUUACAGGCGUACAUGGCUGCCCCUCUCAGUCAUUUUUUUGAAAAACACCAAGGAUGUUAGGUUUUAUUCUUUGUCUUCCAGCUCCUGCCUCCACUUCCUGAAUUGAAGAAGAGACUGUUUCCUCUCUUCAUAGGCAUUAAAAUGUUAUAUUUUCCCAAAUACUGUAUUCAAACAUCCAGUUUUGCAGGUUGAAUAUUACUGCCUUCUUCAUGAUUCACAAGUUAACAUUAAGUCUGAUUAUGGCAACAGUCAGAGACCCAACAAGUCACAGCAGGAACUGCAAAGUAAAGGCUCCUCAGGCCAAGUAGGGGGGAAAACCCUUUUUAAUUAAAGUAUCAUUAUAAAGAAACAACAGAAAGGCACUACAAGUAAAGUGUUGACUAGCCAUUCCUGGGCAGUCUUCUUUCCUUCACUAAGAUCUAGAGAGUUCCUUAUGUUUACCCUGCUUGCAGACUAUUUCUAUACUCCAAAAAAGGGAGGCUGAGGAUAUACAACUCGAGUCAAAGCUUUCUUUUAUCUCAAAAUAAUCAUGUUUCCCCUACCCUCUUACAAACAGACAUUAGUUCUUAAACCUCUAAUAGCCAAUUUCUGCCAAGAGUAAAUGGGAUCCCCUUCCUAAAAAGUCAACUCCUCUAUUUUAUGUCAUUCUCCUCCUAAUAAUACUUUGUAGGUGGUGCAUUUCUGGAAAAGUUGCAUAGCUGAUUUCCAUUCAUGCAGAGUUACUCAUCAGCCCUCUAACUACAGAUAUGAUAUCCAGGAAUUCCAGCAAUAGUAUUUCAGAUUGGAUAGAGGUUAGGGAUGUUAAAAUGCUUGUAAUUAAGUAACCAUGUAACAACUGACAUUUUCAGUGGGCAGCAGUUGGCUCCACAGGAGCUUUGCAUACUGGCUCCUGUCGCCCUCCCCUCCCUCUCACUUCCUCCCCCACCCUCACUGCAUGUUGCUGCCUCUUUUACAGCAUAACAGGAGCCUGCAUGUAAAAGUUAACCAAUGAGCCCAGGCUCAUCAGUUAACUGUUUACACGGUUACACUGUCACAUCUGUAGUGGAAAACCCUGAGAGAGAUUGACAGCAUUUAAGGUGAUUACUAAUGGAGUACUUAAAAGAAGUCUCUGAUAAAAUAAAAAGAUAGAGGACCAAAUUUUCAAAGAUAAUUAGGCAUCUACCUUCCCUUGAAAUGAAUGGGAGUUAGGUGCCUAAAUAACUGAGUACCUGGACCUGAGGGGUUAUGUUAGAGGGAAAAGACUGGAUUGUGGAAAUCAAGUACAUUUAAGAAAAAAAAUUACCUUCUCCCUG